CAGCAGCCGCCGCGGUAAAACGUAGGGUGCGAGCGUUAAUCGGAAUUACUGGGCGUAAAGCGUGCGCAGGCGGUUCGUUAAGACAGAUGUGAAAUCCCCGGGCUUAACCUGGGAACUGCAUUUGUGACUGGCGAGCUAGAGUAUGGCAGAGGGGGGUAGAAUUCCACGUGUAGCAGUGAAAUGCGUAGAGAUGUGGAGGAAUACCGAUGGCGAAGGCAGCCCCCUGGGCCAAUACUGACGCUCAUGCACGAAAGCGUGGGGAGCAAACAGGAUUAGAUACCCCUGUAGUCCCUGUCUCUUAUAA
rnacentral:rRNA from 1 species